AGUGAACGCUGGCGGUAGGCCUAACACAUGCAAGUCGAACGGAUCCUUCGGGAUUAGUGGCGGACGGGUGAGUAACACGUGGGAACGUGCCCUUUGGUUCGGAACAACCCAGGGAAACUUGAGCUAAUACCGGAUGUGCCCUUCGGGGGAAAGAUUUAUCGCCAUUGGAGCGGCCCGCGUCUGAUUAGCUAGUUGGUGGGGUAAAGGCCCACCAAGGCGACGAUCAGUAGCUGGUCUGAGAGGAUGAUCAGCCACAUUGGGACUGAGACACGGCCCAAACUCCUACGGGAGGCAGCAGUGGGGAAUCUUGCGCAAUGGGCGAAAGCCUGACGCAGCCAUGCCGCGUGAAUGAUGAAGGUCUUAGGAUUGUAAAAUUCUUUCACCGGGGACGAUAAUGACGGUACCCGGAGAAGAAGCCCCGGCUAACUUCGUGCCAGCAGCCGCCGUAA
rnacentral:rRNA from 1 species